AUUGAACGCUGGCGGCAUGCCUUACACAUGCAAGUCGAACGGUAACAGGUUAAGCUGACGAGUGGCGAACGGGUGAGUAAUAUAUCGGAACGUGCCCAGUAGUGGGGGAUAGCCCGGCGAAAGCCGGAUUAAUACCGCAUACGACCUACGGGUGAAAGGGGGGGAUCGCAAGACCUCUCGCCAUUGGAGCGGCCGAUAUCAGAUUAGGUAGUUGGUGGGGUAAAGGCCUACCAAGCCUGCGAUCUGUAGUUGGUCUGAGAGGACGACCAGCCACACUGGGACUGAGACACGGCCCAGACUCCUACGGGAGGCAGCAGUGGGGAAUUUUGGACAAUGGGCGCAAGCCUGAUCCAGCAAUGCCGCGUGCAGGAAGAAGGCCUUCGGGUUGUAAACUGCUUUUGUCAGGGAAGAAAUCCUCUGGGUUAAUACCUCGGGGGGAUGACGGUACCUGAAGAAUAAGCACCGGCUAACUACGUGCCAGCCGCCGCAGUAACAC
rnacentral:rRNA from 1 species